UUAGAUACCUAAGAAAUGGAGGUGAAUCUUAAACUCCUGAUGUGGAGAUAGAUCUUUGCACAGUGCCACAAAUGUCUUGUCAUCUGAUACUAGUACUGGUAGUUUCAGUGGGGUGGUUACCUGCUACAAAUACUAGCUAACUCUAUUUUGUUUGAACAAUGUUUAUUCCAUCUUCCUCUUUUUUUUUUUUUUCCCAGCACUGGAACACUUGAGGUGAUUCUUCAGAAAUAAAAUUUUGUUAAACUAAGCAACAGAUGCAUAAAAGGAAGAAAAUGUUUAGCCACUUAUACUUGUCAGAUAAAGCAAAAUGGAAGUGGUGAAAUGAAUAUGACUCAGCUGAAAGCAGUGAGCAGUUUGAGCGAUGACAACCCUGACUCAUCUGGGAAAAUACUUCGUUCUCUUGCGUCAAGAGAGUUGGUACUGCUUGCAUGAAGAAGUGUACUAGAAAGGAUUAAAAACUGAGGUAGUGCCUAGGAGCAACUCUAACUUAAGAGUUAGCUGAUCUGGUAACACAUAAGGAGAUGAGUAAACUGAUCUAUAGAAAAGGGAUAGUAACACUGGACUGAGUGCAGGAAAGAAUUUGGAAAUAAUUAGUCCAAAGUGGAAGUUACAGCCUUGACAAAUCUACAGAAGCUAUGGAAUAGGAAAGCUUCAGAAUGAGAAACAUGUCUUACUGGGACUCUCCCACAUGCUAAAUGGAAAUUACCAAAGCUUCACAGUUGGAAAUAACACAGUAGAGAGACAUAUAUUAGAUCCUCUUCAUUAGAGUUGAAUGUACCUUACUUGUAAGACUGAAGGAGUGAAUUGUACAUGGAUUGCCACAGGUGUGAACCUCUGCCAAAGGAGGAAGCAACAGUGGCAACGGGCUUUUCUGAGGUGGCAUAUUGAGAAAAAGGGAAGUCUCUUGAAUCGGUUUCUCAAUAUAGUCUUAAAUCAAGACAUUUGAUUCUGUGAUUCUGUGAUUCUCCAGUGCUGACCUUGCCAUUGUCUCAGUCCAAAUGAUGCUGCAUUUAACAUGCAUUAAAAAGAAGGUAAGUUUUGAAAAAAACAAAUGUAAAUAGUAGUGCUAUUUUAACUAUCUACCCAGACAUUUAAAAUGUAUUUAUUGUAUGUUGUCCAUGUCAUUAUUCCUCAGUCAAUAUCAACAUUGUGUACUAUCACAUAUAAGGACUUUGAAAAAUAUGAAUUCUCAGCCUUAAAUGAAGUGUAAGUUUUAGAUACAUGUAUGUCUUAAUAAGACACAUAGUCUUAGUGACGCCCCUUAUCUAAAACUGCUUUGUAAAUUGGAUUUGAGUUUAAGAAUGCAAGAUUUUAUUGCUUAAUGGCU
rnacentral:lncRNA from 1 species